GCGCGUGAUUAUUAUUGUCGCAACCACAAAAGAUAUGUGAUAUUUAGGCGAUCGAUGGCAUAGUUGGGGGCUUUAACCAGGAAAAAAAAACUGUUUUGGUUGUUCGGUAAAAAAGGGUCGGACGGACCAAUCCCGCAAUCGUCGCAGUAAGUGGUGAAACCACAAAAGUGGGGACGCACUUGAUUAGUUAUGUGAGAUCUUAAUAUUUUAAAGUGGCAGAAGAUCUGCGUAGUCGAUCUUGGUUAAGUAAGAUGUUUUUAAAAUUUUUUUAGUGAAUCAUACAAAUACAACAGAUCAGUA
rnacentral:lncRNA from 1 species